rnacentral:rRNA from 1 species
GAUGAACGCUGGCGGCGUGCCUAAUACAUGCAAGUCGAGCGAACGGACGAGAAGCUUGCUUUUCUGAUGUUAGCGGCGGACGGGUGAGUAACACGUGGAUAAUCUACUUAUAAGACUGGGAUAACUUCGGGAAACCGGAGCUAAUACCGGAUAAUAUUCUGAACCGCAUGGUUCAUAAGUGAAAGACGGUCUUGCUGUCACUUAUAGAUGGAUCCGCGCUGCAUUAGCUAGUUGGUAAGGUAACGGCUUACCAAGGCAACGAUGCAUAGCCGACCUGAGAGGGUGAUAGGCCGCCCUGGAACUGGAACGCGGUCCAGGCUACUACGGGAGGCAGCAGUAGGGAAUCUUCGGCAAUGGGCGAGAGCCUGACGGAGCGACGCCGCGUGAGUGGUGACGGUGUUGGGAUCGGAAAAAUCUGUUAUUAGGGGAAAACAUAUGUGUAAGUAGCUGAGGACAGAUUGACGGUACCUGGUCAGAAAGCAACGGCUAACUACGUG